UCUGUAUGAUGCAUCCAGGGCUCAGGUUAAGGAUUUUUCUAUUUGCCGCAUCUGGGUAUCAUUUACUAAAUUGCUCACUUUUCUUAAAUGCUGAUAUGGAAUUAACCAUUAGUUACAGCUCUGUUUGGUUUUGAGUUACAAAAGGUCCUUAUUUACUGUACUGGCUCUAGAGGAUUUGCUUCUUAGUACGAGUGUGUUGUUUCGGUUGCAGAAAAGAAAGUAUGUUGUGUUACCAGCUUAUCCAUGAGAACUUUGAAAUAUGUUAGUAUUAUUCCUCUGUUUUCUUGAUCUUUUAGUUACAGUUAGUCCUAUUGUGAGGAGAAGCUUUGGCAGUGGUUAAUCAGUUCAGAAAGAUAAUUUGAUGCCGAGGAGCACAUUGAUUGCCCAGAUAUCCAGGCACAACAUACUUCAGAUUUGAGCACAUUAACUCCCAUCCUUUUCUGAUUUCAGAAACAUAUUCAUGUGCUGGAUUCUAGCACGGUGUUCGGGUAAUCAUAGCAAUACUAUAGUGAAAUAGUUAUGAUAUAACCUGUCAUCUAUGUACACUCACUGCGCCCUAUGGUUGCUGGUGACUACUUCGUUUGACCAGUGGUGCAUCCUUCUGCCAUCCUGUAUACGGCAACUCUGCAGGUCCGGACUGGUUAGGCUGCUCUUAGAAAGCGUUAAGUUGGGUCGAAUGUUUGCCAGUUGAUGGAAAUGAUGUUUUGGGGCGGGUGCAGGGUUAAAGCAGUAUGAGUGUUUACCAUGGGGCGGAUGCCAGUACGAUUGAGGUGGCGUCGUUCUUGCGAUUAGCCACGGUAAGUGCCUAGAGACCUCAUAGCUCUAUAAUUAUUUGCUUCCAAAACAUCUGAAUCAUGUACAUGUGUUUCUGUAUCAUCUUUUUCUCUGAAAUGUAAUUUGAUUAUGUGAGGUGGAAGCUUCCUGCCGUUAUUGGUACAAGUAAUGGGGGAUUGUAUGUUUUUUUUCUCCUGUAUUGAUUACAGAUGCAAACAACCCUGGGAUACCCAAAGGUACCAUCUCUUUUUCUGGUGGCUCUCUGAAGCAUAGCAAACUCAAGAUUCUAUUCAGUGUUCAUCCUUUAUUCUCUAUUUAUGGAGUAGACCGUGGUGGGCAUGUAAUCCAUCGUGUGGAAUUAUUGCAUGGAGCUGUACCAACUGCGAUGCAGUUCGUAAGGACCUUCCUUCUGCUACUUUAGGAAGUCCUGUUAGUCGUUCGUUCGGUCAUGAACCCCAAUUCUAUUUUUGAUAGUAAAGUACAGGCUGAAUUGUGUGUUGGAUCCAAUAGUGUAUACUAAAGUAGCUCAUUAAAUCUUGUGGGAUCCAAUGAUCCAUGGUAGGUUCGUUGUGUGCUUAUAUUAAUCCUCUGUUUUCCUUUGGCCAAGUUAUUUUCCUUGUCGUAACGUCUUUCUAUGUGUAAGUGAAGCUAGCAUUGUAAUGCUUAAUUUUUCCUUUCGGUAACUUAGCUUUUAAAGUGCUCGAUGCUUGGUGCCCAUUCAUGUUCCAGAUUUAAAUUGUAAUCGCGACAAUGUGCUUGCAUUUAAACUUCCUAAUAUAUUCGUUUUCUAAACAUGACAUGUGCAGUCUGAGGAUGAAGGGAAGAAGAAUUUAGCUAAAGAAUUGAAGAAGAUCAAGGUUAUUUUUCUCCCUCUUUUUAACCUUUUUCUCUCAUUUUGAUGCUAUAAACAUUACUACAUGAGGGAGAAUAGAAUACGACAAAGUUAGAUGAGAUUUGUAGUGAACAGCUUUCUUUCUUUUGUUUACCUACAUAUCUUGAUUGCACGAUUGAUUAUUUUGCUGGGUAUGUUAGGAAUGCAAAUGCCCCUUUAUAGGAAGCUUGAAACUUCAGUUUUCUGCUGGUGAGUUAUGUGUGGUUUCAGGAUUACAGAUGCCACAAGGCUUGCCUAACAAAGGUUCCCAGAAAAGGAAUGGUUUGACCAAAAAAGGUGGUUCUUUCUUUCGAUACUCUUUUUUUAUGCUAAAAGGAAUGCUUAUGUUUAUGUUUUACUAUUUGUAAAAUAAACAUAUGCUAGGUUUUAGAGUAAAUUUCAGGUUAAUCAUUUUCACUAUUUGUAUUCCUGGUUUGAACAUAUGCCGGAAUCUAUCUACUCCUGAAAAUCUUUGUAUGUAUAUGCAGUCGUUUUGGAAUGGGCUAUGAUUCUUUUUUUAGUAUUUUAGUUUACACAUUUCUCCUAAGAAUCUUGAUAUUCACUAUAUUAUUAUAGUAUAGGUUUGUAAUUUUUCCUUGGGAAUCUAUAUAUCCAGUCAAGCUGGGAUAGGCUAUGUUUUUUUACUCGGUCAUGGCGAUGGCACUCUGCCGAGGACAUGGCAACAGGUCAAUACUUCAUGUUAUUUCUAUACAUUUUUGCAGGCUUUGCUCUCCAAGUGCAGAACACUUUCCCACUCCCCAUCGAUGACGGUCUUCCUGUAUGAGCAUUUUCAUCUGUGCUCCCUAUUUUCCUUGCUCCACUAAGAGUGAAGCCAUUAACUGUUGUCUGUAAUUGCGGGGUAACUCUUUUAGUGCCACAGAAGUUAUUCCGAAAGGCCAUUAAGCUUAUUGUAAUGCCAACUUCUGUAAAGGUGCUUGUCCUGUUUAUUACAGUAUGUUCCUUUUGACAAAUCAACAAAAGUGUACAAAUUCAUUUAAAUGGGUUCGCAGGGUAUUUUCAUUAGCAAUGGCACAGGGCAUCAGAAAGCACAAGUAGCGAGAACAAUUAGUUCAGUUUUAAUAUCAUAGUUCUACUCAUCCGAAAUUGUGUUAAAUUAAUCUGCUAGAGUAUGGUGAUAACAGAG
rnacentral:lncRNA from 1 species